rnacentral:lncRNA from 1 species
GUCCGGGAGUGGCGGCGGCCAAUCAGCGCUCGGCUUCCAUUUUGUGAGUUCAACUCAGAAGCUUCCCCGGCUUCGCGUGGAUAUGUUUGCAGACCCCUCGGCCUCUCUUCUCGGGCUGCCGAGGCGAAGCAGCCGCCUCUUUGGGGCUUCGUGGUGGUGUAUUUCAUAUUGGGGCUCUUUUCGGGGUUUGUAAUUUGGCCGUGGGUAGGUAAUUGGCUGGAGCAGGGCGGCAGGGCGCGGCAGCCAAUCAGCACGCGGCUUCUAUAGGGCUUGAGUUAUUAGACGCUGAUCUCAAAACAUCCUUCAUCAGACUCCAAGGAGAGGCCAACAGAUGAGGGGAGCCAUUUUUCUGCAAUGGAAUUAAAUGGCCAAGUGGGUUUUUCCUUUGUUGCAAAUGGGGAAUGCUUUUCCUUUGACUCCACCAUCCAGUUCAGGACGCCUGAAUGUGUUUAACAUUUGCCAAAGGACUCACACUUGGAAGAAUGAAGAAGACCUUUUAAAAAGAUCUGGAUUUUUCCUUAUGACUUGGAAUCCAUCUUUGUCUUGUAUAACUAGGUCAUAGUACACUAUUAAUGUCAGCAGUUAACAGUUUUGAAUUCAAAAAAACCUAAUUUUCAUGUUACUGUCGCCUGAGAUGUCCUGAAUUUUCGGAACCUUCAUCUGCAUGUAUGUCUUUGUCUCGGUCUGAUAGCAGUAAACAGUCCACAGCGAAGCCGCCUUUUGCCGGCCCAACCCUGGAAAGUUUGCAGUCGUGGAAGGAGCAGAAAUACCAUGAGUGUAACUUACAAAAAGGUCUUGGCCGGAGACCGGAACAAUGUCUGGGUUAUCCCCACAGUAGACAGUCCUUGCUUCCUCUGGACAUCUGGAACAGGCCUAAUUUGGCUGACAGCUUUCCCACUAAGGUUGAAGGCCUUCUACCUCUGCUCUCCUGGGCUUGCUUUCCCUAUUGGCCUCUGUCUUCCUUGAGACCAUCCUGCGGCUGGCUCCCUGAGUGAAUCUUCCCCUGGCACAAGAAGCCAGCCAGCCAGCCAGCCAGCCUCUGGGGCCCAGGACAAAGCCUGAAGAAGCCUAAGAGAAGAACCCUGGAAUCCCUGCAAAGGUAUGUGGAUCCCCGCUCACUCUAAACCUCCCCCUCUUUGUGCUGUUUUUACUCCACUCUGGAGUAGCCUGCUCUUCGUUCUCUGGGCAGUCUUGGCCUCUGGCAUGCUGUCCCUCCUUUUUUUUUUUUUUUUUUUUUUGCCAUUCUCAAAGGGCCACUAAGGUAUAGACCCAGCCCUUCCUCCCUUGCCUGGUUUUGACAGGACUCAUGUCUGUUGGGUCUCUUUGUAGCCCUUCUCCCCCUUCAACCAGCAGUCGGGCCCUAGCCCGUAACCUUGACAACCACUUGGUCCUGUCUCCUCACUACUGAAAACCUGAAGAGGGUUUUCCAGCUGCGGUACAUUUGCCCAAAUUGGGCACCCCUUCUAGCUUCCAUUGGCUCUCCCUCUGCCCAACUGUACCCAAUACAACAAACCAGCUUCCCUGGUCCCUUGGCUGUAACCCAAAAUUGAUCACACUGGUGCUGGGAGCUCCACCACACAGCUUCCUCCAUGCAGCUCCUAACAGGCAGGAAUACGGUUGCUUCUCAAUAAACAAAUCGCAAAAAAGGAAUGAACGAGUUGC